AUGGAGGGGCAUAGUCAUGACUAUGCCGACGAGAUCUCAGAUCUCUCUAAUGCACUUGAGGAAGAGCAUGGUCACCGUUUGGCUCUUGAGGAGUCACACAACGAUGAUCAUGCUAGAUUAAAGAAAGAUCUUGAUCAUGCACUUGUUAUGUCUCGUGUGCUAAAUUCCGAGAAGGCUAAAGUUGGGGUUGAUCUUGCUAGACUCAAGGAAGAGUUUGAUUUACUUUACAAGGCUCACAAGGCCUUGAAGGGUACUCACGAUAGCCUUAAGGAGUCUCAUGAUCAAUUCCAAGUGAAGCUAACUAAGGAGAAAGCCACUUUUCCUCAUAUGGUUUUAAUUGAUAAUGCAAAUGCUACUAACCCAUGUUGUGAGCAUGUGCAUCUUGUGGAGGAGAAUUCUAAGUUGAAGAAGCAACUUGAGAAAGGCCUUGUGUCAUGCAUAAAAGGUGAGAAAAGCCUCAAUGACCUUUUGAGCAAUCAAAAGGAAGUUGUGGCUAAGGAGGGAAUUGGGUUCGCACCCAAGUCCAAGAACAAGAAGAAGAAUGACAAGGCCAAACGACCUCCUCCUCUCGAUGAUGGGCAUGUCUAUGCCAAAUUUGUUGGUUCCCCUUAUGAGUACAUUGAAUGGUCUAUUUGGGUUCCUAAGACCCUUGUUACUAACAUUAAAGGACCUAUUACAAAAUGGGUAUCUAAAACCAAGCAUUGA
rnacentral:rRNA from 1 species